AUUGAACGCUGGCGGCAUGCCUUACACAUGCAAGUCGAACGGCAGCACGGGGGCAACCCUGGUGGCGAGUGGCGGACGGGUGAGUAAUGCAUCGGAACGUGCCCUGAAGUGGGGGAUAACGCAGCGAAAGCUACGCUAAUACCGCAUAUUCUGUGAGCAGGAAAGCAGGGGAUCGCAAGACCUUGCGCUUUGGGAGCGGCCGAUGUCGGAUUAGCUAGUUGGUGGGGUAAAGGCCUACCAAGGCGACGAUCCGUAGCGGGUCUGAGAGGAUGAUCCGCCACACUGGGACUGAGACACGGCCCAGACUCCUACGGGAGGCAGCAGUGGGGAAUUUUGGACAAUGGGCGAAAGCCUGAUCCAGCCAUGCCGCGUGAGUGAAGAAGGCCUUCGGGUU
rnacentral:rRNA from 1 species